rnacentral:tRNA from 1 species
GGUUGAGUAGCUCAGUUGGUCAGAGCACUUCGCUUACAUCGAAGAGGUCACUGGUUCGAGCCCAGUCUCAACCA